GCCAGGCGUGGUGGCACGUGUCUGUAGUCCUAACUGCUCGGGAGGCUGAGGUGGGAGAAUUACUUGAGCCCAGGAGUUCUGGGCUGUAGUGUGCUGUGCCAAUUGGGUGUCCAUACUAAGUUUGGCAUAAAUAUGGUAACCUCCCGGGAUUGGGGGACCACCAGGUUGCCUAAGGGUGAACCGGCCCAGGUUGGAAAUGGAGCAGGUCAAAACUCCCAUGCUGAUCAGUAGUGGGAUCGCACCUGUGAAUAGCCACUGCACCCCAGCCUGGGCAACAUAGCGAGACCCUGUCUCU
rnacentral:SRP_RNA from 1 species